rnacentral:sRNA from 1 species
UUUCUUUCAUGUGCUCCUCAGCUGUCCUGCUAAGUACACAGGCAAAAAAUGCGAGAUGAUAGAUUCAGAUGUAAUGUUUGCUGGAUGGGAAAUUGUUGUUGGAGUCAGUGUCGCUGCUAUAGUUUUGUUAAUUGUAGGAAUUGUUUUAUAUGUCUAUCUCAAGAGAUCUAAAAGAAAAUGUCCCUGUUUGAACAGGGAAGAGGAAUCAGA